rnacentral:rRNA from 1 species
UGUAAGCGUAUACCAAAGUUGUUGCAGUUAAAACGCUCGUAGUCGGACUUUGGCAGUUCCGGAUGUGUGCACGUCGUGUGCGCACUUCGCGGGGAUUGCUUUUGUGGUCUUGCGUAGGAUGAGGCACUUUUAUUAGUGAACGUCCUCACGCAACCACUUUUUACUGUGAGAAAAUCAGAGUGCUCAAAGCAGGCAUUUGCCGUGAAUGUAUUAGCAUGGAAUAAUAGAAUAGGACUUGGUUCUAUUUUGUUGGUUUGUUGGGACUGAGUAAUGAUUAAGAGGGACAGUCGGGGGCAUUUGUAUUUCGGUGCUAGAGGUGAAAUUCUUAGAUUACCGAAAGACAAACUGCUGCGAAAGCGUCUGCCAAGGAUGUUUUCAUUGA